rnacentral:rRNA from 1 species
AUUGAACGCUGGCGGCAGGCCUAACACAUGCAAGUCGAGCGAGCGGCGGACGGGUGAGUAAUGUAUGGGAAACUGCCUGAUGGAGGGGGAAAAAUACUGGAAACGGAUACUAAUACCGCAUACCAACAGAUUGUCCCAGAUGGGAUUAGAUAGUAGGUGGGGUAACGGCUAACCUAGGCGACGAUCCCUAGCUGGUCUGAGAGGAUGACCAGACACACUGGAACUGAGACACGGUCCAGACUCCUACGGGAGGCAGCAGUGGGGAAUAUUGCACAAUGGGCGAAAGCCUGAUGCAGCCACGCCGCGGGUGUGAAGAAGGCCUUCGGGUUGUAAAGCACUUUCAGCGGGGAGGCGUUACCCGAAGAAGAAGCACCGGCUAACUCCGUGCCAGCAGCCGCGGUAAUAC